UAGGUUUGAGCAUUGUACAAGGAGA
rnacentral:piRNA from 1 species